ACACUCGUUUCAGCAGUACAGGCAUUAAAAUUGGAAAUAUAUAGAGUAUGGUAUGGCCUCUAAGCAAGUAUGACACUAAAAUUCAUGAAGCAUUCCUUUUGUUU
rnacentral:snRNA from 1 species